rnacentral:rRNA from 1 species
AGGUAAGCUACUAAGAGCGAAUGGUGGAUGCCUUGACUGGUAAAGGCGAUGAAGGACGUACUAGACUGCGAUAAGCUACGGGGAGCUGUCAAGAAGCUUUGAUCCGUAGAUUUCCGAAUGGGGCAACCCAAUGUAUAGAGAUAUACAUUACCUAUAUAGGAGCGAACGAGGGGAAUUGAAACAUCUUAGUACCCUCAGGAAAAGAAAUCAAUAGAGAUUGCGUCAGUAGCGGCGAGCGAAAGCGCAAGAGGGCAAACCCAGUGCUUGCACUGGGGGUUGUAGGACUGCAAUGUGCAAGAGGUAAGUUUAGCAGAACAUUCUGGAAAGUAUAACCAUAGAGGGUGAUAGUCCCGUAUGCGAAAAACAAACCUUAGCUAGCAGUAUCCUGAGUAGGGCGGGACACGAGGAAUCCUGUCUGAAUCCGGGUCGACCACGAUCCAACCCUAAAUACUAAUACCAGAUCGAUAGUGCACAAGUACCGUGAGGGAAAGGUGAAAAGAACUGAGGUGAUCAGAGUGAAAUAGAACCUGAAACCAUUUGCUUACAAUCAUUCAGAGCCCUAUGUAGCAAUACAGGGUGAUGGACUGCCUUUUGCAUAAUGAGCCUGCGAGUUGUGGUGUCUGGCAAGGUUAAGCAAACGCGAAGCCGUAGCGAAAGCGAGUCUGAAUAGGGCGCUUAGUCAGAUGCUGCAGACCCGAAACGAAGUGAUCUAUCCAUGAGCAAGUUGAAGCUAGUGUAAGAACUAGUGGAGGACUGAACCCAUAGGCGUUGAAAAGCCCCGGGAUGACUUGUGGAUAGGGGUGAAAGGCCAAUCAAACUUCGUGAUAGCUGGUUCUCUCCGAAAUAUAUUUAGGUAUAGCGUUGUGUCGUAAUAUAAGGGGGUAGAGCACUGAAUGGGCUAGGGCAUACACCAAUGUACCAAACCCUAUCAAACUCCGAAUACCUUAUAUGUAAUCACAGCAGUCAGGCGGCGAGUGAUAAAAUCCGUCGUCAAGAGGGAAACAACCCAGACUACCAGCUAAGGUCCCUAAAUCUUACUUAAGUGGAAAACGAUGUGAAGUUACUUAAACAACCAGGAGGUUGGCUUAGAAGCAGCCAUCCUUUAAAGAAAGCGUAAUAGCUCACUGGUCUAGUGAUUUUGCGCGGAAAAUAUAACGGGGCUAAAGUAAGUACCGAAGCUGUAGACUUAGUUUACUAAGUGGUAGGAGAGCGUUCUAUUUGCGUCGAAGGUAUACCGGUAAGGAGUGCUGGAGCGAAUAGAAGUGAGCAUGCAGGCAUGAGUAGCGAUAAUUAAUGUGAGAAUCAUUAACGCC